GAUGAACGCUGGCGGCGUGCUUAACACAUGCAAGUCGAACGGGAAACCUUUUAUUGAAGCUUCGGCAGAUUUAGCUGGUUUCUAGUGGCGGACGGGUGAGUAACGCGUGGGUAACCUGCCCUAUACAGGGGGAUAACAACCAGAAAUGGUUGCUAAUACCGCAUAAGCGCACAGGGCCGCAUGGUCCGGUGUGAAAAACUCCGGUGGUAUAGGAUGGACCCGCGUUGGAUUAGCCAGUUGGCAGGGUAACGGCCUACCAAAGCGACGAUCCAUAGCCGGCCUGAGAGGGUGAACGGCCACAUUGGGACUGAGACACGGCCCAGACUCCUACGGGAGGCAGCAGUGGGGAAUAUUGCACAAUGGGGGAAACCCUGAUGCAGCGACGCCGCGUGAAGGAAGAAGUAUCUCGGCAUGUAAACUUCUAUCAGCAGGGAAGAUAGUGACGGUACCUGACUAAGAAGCCCCGGCUAACUACGUG
rnacentral:rRNA from 1 species